rnacentral:rRNA from 1 species
UACGUAGGGUGCAAGCGUUAAUCGGAAUUACUGGGCGUAAAGCGUGCGCAGGCGGUUCUAUAAGACAGAUGUGAAAUCCCCGGGCUCAACCUGGGAACUGCAUUUGUGACUGUAGAGCUGGAGUACGGCAGAGGGGGAUGGAAUUCCGCGUGUAGCAGUGAAAUGCGUAGAUAUGCGGAGGAACACCGAUGGCAAAGGCAAUCCCCUGGGCCUGUACUGACGCUCAUGCACGAAAGCGUGGGGAGCAAACAGG